ACACAUGCAAGUCGAACGGCAGCAGUAUGAUAGCUUGCUAUCAUGCUGGCGAGUGGCGAACGGGUGAGUAACGCGUAGGGAUCUGCCCUAAAGUGGGGGAUAACCCGAGGAAACUCGGGCUAAUACCGCAUAAGCUCUACGGAGUAAAGAAGGCCUCUGUUUCAUGCUUUCGCUUUAGGAUGAACCUGCGUCCGAUUAGCUUGUUGGUGGGGUAAAGGCCUACCAAGGCUACGAUCGGUAGCUGUUCUGAGAGGAAGAUCAGCCACACUGGGACUGAGACACGGCCCAGACUCCUACGGGAGGCAGCAGUGGGGAAUAUUGGACAAUGGGGGCAACCCUGAUCCAGCAAUGCCGCGUGUGUGAAGAAGGCCUGCGGGUUGUAAAGCACUUUCAGUAGGGAGGAAACAUCCAUGGUUAAUACCCAUGGAAAUUGACGUUACCUAAAGAAGAAGCACCGGCUAACUCUGUGCCAGCAGCCGCGGUAAUACAGAGGGUGCGAGCGUUAAUCGGAAUUACUGGGCGUAAAGCGCACGUAGGUGGAUAGAAAAGUUGGGUGUGAAAUCCCCGGGCUUAACCUGGGAAUGCCAUCCAAAACUGCCUGUCUAGAGUACAGUAGAGGAAAGUGGAAUUUCCGGUGUAGCGGUGAAAUGCGUAGAUAUCGGAAGGAACACCAGUGGCGAAGGCGACUUUCUGGACUGAUACUGACACUGAGGUGCGAAAGCGUGGGGAGCGAACAGGAUUAGAUACCCUGGUAGUCCACGCCGUAAACGAUGAGAACUAGCCGUUGGACCCUAGAGGUUUAGUGGCGCAGCUAACGCGAUAAGUUCUCCGCCUGGGGAGUACGGCCGCAAGGU
rnacentral:rRNA from 1 species